rnacentral:rRNA from 1 species
AGUGAACGCUGGCGGUAGGCCUAACACAUGCAAGUCGAACGGCAGCACAGUAAGAGCUUGCUCUUACGGGUGGCGAGUGGCGGACGGGUGAGGAAUACAUCGGAAUCUACUUUUUCGUGGGGGAUAACGUAGGGAAACUUACGCUAAUACCGCAUACGACCUACGGGUGAAAGCAGGGGAUCUUCGGACCUUGCGCGAUUGAAUGAGCCGAUGUCGGAUUAGCUAGUUGGCGGGGUAAAGGCCCACCAAGGCGACGAUCCGUAGCUGGUCUGAGAGGAUGAUCAGCCACACUGGAUCUGCGACACGUUCCAGACUCCUACGGGAGGCAGCAGUGGGGAAUAUUGGACAAUGGGCGCAAGCCUGAUCCAGCCAUACCGCGUGGGUGAAGAAGGCCUUCGGGUUGUAAAUCCCUUUUGUUGGGAAAGAAAAGCAGCAGGUUAAUACCCCGCUGUUCUGACGGUACCCAAAGAAUAAGCACCGGCUAACUUCGUG